CAGACUUUAUGAGCAAGCAGGCAGGGCAGAUGCUUUUCUAAGGCCUGUGUGAGCUGGAAGAAGCUAAGCCAGGCGCAGAGAACUGGCUGCUGUUCCUCACUCUGCAGCACUUUGCAGCCGGUAGUGCUGUUGUGAACCCUCCACCAGGGAUCAUGGGCAAUGCUACUUGGAGAAUACCACUUGAAUGCAGAAAACAAGAGCCAAGCUAUUCUGGGAGGACCUGUAUGAAGCUCCUAUCUGCUUUGCUGACCAGACAGAGAGGGCAACAACCACACAUCUUUGAGGAAGUCUGAUGGCAGUGCACAGUUUGACAGCAUGGGACAUGCUGAGGGGAGAAAUUCACACUACUUUUGCUCUUUUGGUCCUGCUGUUGCUCCUGCUUCCUGGAGCCCUCUCUGGCCAGCUCUCUCCUGUGGCUGCCUACCUGCUUGCCUUCUGUUCCUGGGCCUCUCCCUCCUAAGACUGCUGCCACCAC